rnacentral:rRNA from 1 species
GACGAACGCUGGCGGCGUGCCUAAUACAUGCAAGUAGAACGCCGAAGGAGGAGCUUGCUUCUCUGGAUGAGUUGCGAACGGGUGAGUAACGCGUAGGUAACCUGCCUGGUAGCGGGGGAUAACUAUUGGAAACGAUAGCUAAUACCGCAUAAUAGCACUUGUUGCAUGACAACUGUUUGAAAGGUGCAAUUGCACCACUACCAGAUGGACCUGCGUUGUAUUAGCUAGUUGGUGGGGUAACGGCACACCAAGGCGACGAUACAUAGCCGACCUGAGAGGGUGAGCAGCCACACUGGGACUGAGACACGGCCCAGACUCCUACGGGAGGCAGCAGUAGGGAAUCUUCGGCAAUGGGCGGAAGUCUGACCGAGCAACGCCGCGUGAGUGAAGAAGGUUGUCGGAUCGUAAAGCUCUGUUGUAAGAGAAGAACGAGUGUGAGAGUGGAAAGUUCACACUGUGACGGUAUCUUACCAGAAAGGGACGGCUAACUACGUG